ACAUCGCAAUAUUUCUACAAUAUCUCCGUAAUAUUGCAUUGCAAUUUACAACAUUGCUAUAAUGUUGCUGCAAUGUUCUGUGCUGUAUGAGAUAUAUGAUCUGUUCCAAAAGUAAUGAGAAUGAUUUUUUGGAGAAAAUACUUUUAUUGAAAUCAGAUUUAUAUACACUUAAUAAUUUUCAAAGUAAUUCCCUUGAGAGUCUAUACACCGCGUUCAACGUUGCUGCUACUCUUCAUAACAGCGUUGGAAUUUUUUAACGGAGACACUGUUUAAGGUCCUUGUUACAGCUGCAGAGGAAUCGUCCACAAGAAGUUUGUACCGAUCGGACAAACAGUAAACGCAGCAUUUUACAUCCAGGUAUUCGAUCGUUUGAAAAAAAGGGUCGCGCGCGUUCGCUCAGAAAUCCAGCACACCUGGAUUCUUCAUCACGACAACGCGUUGAGUCACAUUCGUUAACGGUGAGGGAGUUUUUGGGGUUACAAAGGGCUACAAAGAACAUUCUAACGUUUCCACAACCACCUUAUAGCCCAAACAUAGCUCCUUGUAACUUAUUCUUUCUGUUCUCUUGCAUCAAAUCUGAUCAGAAAGAAAACUAUUUUGGGACCAUAGAAAACGUCCGGCUGUGACGAGGACAUUGAACAGUGUCUUUAUUGAAGAAUUUCAACCUGUUAUGAAGAAUAGUAGCAAUGUUGGACGCGGUGUAUAGACUUUCAAGGGAACUACUUUGAAAACUACUAAGUGUAUUUGAACCUGAUUUUAACAAAAGUAUUUUCUCCAGAAUCAUUCUCAUUACUUUUGGGACAGACCAUGUAUUACAUUAUGCAAUGAAAAAUAUUUUAUCAAAUUGACAUCAAUUCAAUGUCGAUUUGAUAUCGAUGAAUGAUUGAAACUGAAUAUCGAGAUCGAUCUGAGGGUUGAUAUCAAAUUUCAAUAUUGGUCAAGUUGACGUCAUUUCUCACUGGGCAAUAUUUUCUCUGGUAAAAAAAUAGGCAGUUAGAUAUUUGAGCAGAAGAAAGAAUCAAUAAGCCCGCAGGGGUUGUCAAACCGCAACAAAAGGGCAUAGACACGAACAUGAGUUUUAUACAAGCAGCAGCCGCCAUCGGAAGCUUUAUUGGAACCGCCGACUCGAUUGGCACUACAAACGUUGUGGGUGGUCAAGAGGAUGGAACGGCAGUGCAACAGGCGCAACCAUCAGCAUCAAGUCCAGCUCAACCACAAUCGAGUGCGUUAACCGGAGAGCCAGGUCCGCAACAAGCUACGCAAGGACAAAUGGCUGAUGUUGGUGCUUCAACGAGUGCAAAAUCAACGCCUGAUCCAGAAAAAUGUAGACUUAUACAGCAACAAUUGGUACUACUUUUGCACGCGCAUAAAUGCCAACGACGGGAGCGUCAAGCGAACGGUGAGAUAAGACAGUGCACUGUGCCAGACUGCAGAACUAUGAAAAACGUUCUGAAUCACAUGACGAAUUGUCAAUCUGGCAAGAGUUGCACCAUCCCGCAUUGCAGUAUGUCUAGGCAGAUCAUCAGUCACUGGAAACACUGUAAUCGAAGUGAUUGUCCAGUCUGUGUUCCGAUAAAACAAGCUAAUGAAAGCAGGACUAAUUCAGCGCAGGCGAUGGGUGUCCGUGUGUAUUUUGCGAUGGGUGCACCGGGAUAAUCCAUAGUCGGUGCUGGACAACAAGUAGUCGCUCUGAACGUAUCUCUUUCUUUAAAUUCUGAUCUUACUACGGUUGGGGUAGCCGGCAAUCAGUCGGUACCGAAGACCGGACCACAUCCGCCGCGGCAGCGACCAUUGCUUAUUGGCUUGUAUAUUUACAACAAUCCGUUAAUAUUCAAGCGAUGUUUGGACUGAAUGAAUUCGGACAACCUGGUGUGAUAGGUGGAGAAAAUGGAUUAGAGAAUUCCAGGAGCUUCCAGGAGGUCUUCAACUUGGUCAAGUCACAUCGACGCCGGCACAAAGGACAAAGGAGUGGCAUAUGUCCGUUACUCUAGAUCUCAGGAACCAUCUUGUUCAUAAAUUGAUUCAAGCAAUAUUCCCGACUCCCGAUUCACAAGCCAUACUCAAUGAAACAAUAUACAAUUUGAUCGCAUAUGCAAGAAAGAUGGAGGGUGACAUGUACGAAAGGGCCAACUCUCGUUCGGAAUAUUACUGUUUGUUGGCCAAAAAAAUCUACGAGAUUCAAAAGGAACUUGAUAACGAAAAACGACGAAAACGAGAAGAAUAACAGCAAUAGCAACAAUAACAGCAGCAACAACAACAACAGCAGCUGCAAGUGCAACAACAGUAACACCGGGACAACCCGUACUCAAUGCUGGACAACAAGUAGUCGCUCCGAACGUAUCUCUUCCUUUAAAUUCCGAUCCUACUAUGGUUUGGGUAGUCGGAUAAAAUUCUGAAAAAAAUAUGUAAAAGGAGAAAUGUACUUUAUUAUUGCGUAAGGAAAUUAAAAAUAUUCCUCUAAUUUCUUAGUUAUAAGCAUUUAUGUCAAAAGUGGUGCGAUUUCGGCAACCUUAUCCUAUUUGUAGCGCUCGUUCCUUAUAAAGUAAAGAUAUUGAAGAAAAACGGCCAAAUAUAGAUAAGCAAUUAUAGAUAGUAUAAUUUUUGGACAAUGGUAAUUUCUUCCUACGAUAUUACACAAGUACGUUUUGACUAUACUUAGUUUUUAUCAAAUCAAAGAAAAACAGUUAUUAAUCUAUUAAAUACAUAUUAAAUAAUGAAUUAAGCCGCAAACAUACGUCUUAAAUUAGCAUGAGCUCGUUUCUGUAAGAUUGUAAGAUUUAACAAUUUAACUUUAUCUUAAUCAGAAGUUCAUUUUUGUCAAUUAUAUAGGUACAAUCUUCGAUAAAAAUUUGUACCGAAAUAUAUUUAAGGCCACAAUGAAUGAUCAAUUCUCUUUCUAUCUUUUUCUUUUUGAAAGUUUGAACGCAGAAACCUACAAUAAAUAAUCGUAAUUUACGAUUUACUUGGUUCUACAUCCGGAAAAAGCGGGUGAAUCUCGAUGCACUAACGAGUAAAAUUUGCGAGACAGCGACAGCUGCAAAAGGAAAAUUAUCCCUUUAUAUUAAACUUCGCGAACGCGGACAACAGACAUCGCGUUAAUAGUGCCUCGUGUGUAUUUUACGUUUCGUCGCUUGCUAUGAUACGCAAAUAGAACAGCCGGUGGAGACGUCCAACUGUCUGGUGCACUCGCAAAAAUAGGAUUGUGUCGCCCCGUUUUUGUCGUGUAUCGCCAAUGUUACACGAAGUCGCGAGAAAUCGGGGUUACGAGACGAAAACGCCUCGCGCGACUCCCAUCAUCGAGAGAGCAGAAAAAACUCGCUAAUUUCAAUUAAUGUCCAUCAAUCAGCAAAUGUAAAUAUCUCAGAGUGCUUCGCAAACAAGUUUUACCAAUCAGCUGUUUUUAACUUCCACAGGUGAUAUUAAUCUUGCAGGAUUCUUUCUUAAAAUGUUUCGUCUUUAUUCUUAGUGAAAUAUCAUUACGAUGGCGAUAAUUGUACUAAGACUAUGUGAAUCAUAUAACUACAGACUGUAGCUCACACACACACAAAUGUCCGUAAUAUCUGUAUAAUGCGGGUGCAAUAUUAUAAAUAAAUGCUUUUGUGUCAUUUUAUCUAAAAAUUGAGUGAAUCAAAGCUUUUCAA